rnacentral:rRNA from 1 species
CCUACGGGAGACAGCAGUGAGGAAUAUUGGUCAAUGGACGCAAGUCUGAACCAGCCAUGCCGCGUGCAGGAAGACGGCUCUAUGAGUUGUAAACUGCUUUUGUACGAGGGUAAACGCAGAUACGCGUAUCUGUCUGAAAGUAUCGUACGAAUAAGGAUCGGCUAACUCCGUGCCAGCAGCCGCGGUAAUACGGAGGAUUCAAGCGUUAUCCGGAUUUAUUGGGUUUAAAGGGUGCGUAGGCGGUCGGAUAAGUUAGAGGUGAAAUCCCGAGGCUCAACUUCGGCAUUGCCUCUGAUACUGUCCGGCUAGAGAGUAGUUGCGGUAGGCGGAAUGUAUGGUGUAGCGGUGAAAUGCUUAGAGAUCAUACAGAACACCGAUUGCGAAGGCAGCUUACCAAGCUACUUCUGACGUUGAGGCACGAAAGCGUGGGGAGCAAACAGGAUUAGAUACCCCAGUAGUC